rnacentral:rRNA from 1 species
UGGGGAAUCUUGGACAAUGGGGGCAACCCUGAUCCAGCGAUGCCGCGUGAGUGAAGAAGGCCUUUGGGUUGUAAAGCUCUUUCACCUGUGACGAUAAUGACGGUAACAGGAGAAGAAGCCCCGGCUAACUCCGUGCCAGCAGCCGCGGUAAGACGGAGGGGGCUAGCGUUGUUCGGAAUGACUGGGCGUAAAGGGCGCGUAGGCGGUCUGUCAAGUCAGGCGUGAAAUCCUUGGGCUUAACCUGAGAAUUGCGUUUGAUACUGAUAGACUAGAGGACGAGAGAGGAAAGUGGAAUUCCGAGUGUAGAGGUGAAAUUCGUAGAUAUUCGGAGGAACACCAGAGGCGAAGGCGGCUUUCUGGCUCGUACCUGACGCUGAGGCGCGAAAGCGUGGGGAGCAAACAGGAUUAGAUACCCCUGUAGUCCCUGAGCGGGCUGGCAAGGCGCAU